UGAUUUUCGGAUAUGUUGUUCAUGAAACACAGCUCUACAUUUUGAACGGUGGAGAUCGAAAUCCAAGCACUGUAAUAGGCAGCCAAUUAUAGGAUAGAAGAGACCUUCCGGAGAUCGUGCCGAGCAGUGAGCCUCCGCUCAGGGUUGUGCCACGCGUUGACAUCUUUUAUAGCCAGACAAUGCAGAUGAUGAAUAGUAUUGUCGCACAAGCACUGAAAGAUAUGCAGAAGAAAACCUAGAUGUGUCAGCCAAUAGUGGUGAAAAGGUAUCUGAAUCACAAAAACAUCAGCGGUUUAUGGUAUAUGUCCAUGCUAAGGGAAUGAUAGUAGAUGAUGAAUAUGUGAUAGUGGGAUCUGCCAACGUUAAUCAAAGAUCGAUGGCUGGGAGUAAAGACACUGAAAUAGCCAUGGGUGCUUAUCGGCCGCAUCAUGCUUGGGCGAAAAACAAGAGGCAUCCACAUGGUCAGAUCUAUGGAUAUAGGAAGUCACUUUGGGCAGAGCAUCUUGGUCAGCUAGAGGCUUCCUUCGAGGAGCCUGAAAGUCGGGAAUGUGUAAGGACAGUAAACCAGAUCGCUGGAGACAACUGGGAUAGAUUCACCACCACUGAGAAUUUCACGCGACUCCGUGGCUACCUUCUAAAAUAUCCCCUUAAGGUAGAGGCUGAUGGGAAAAUAAGCCCCCAACCCGGACACGAGAGAUUUCCAGAUACAGGUGGUACAGUCAUUGGAAGGAGUUCCCGGAUUUUGAAUGAUACUUUGACCACAUAAUUACACCUCCCAUUAUUUUGUUUGUUGAAAAAAAAAAAAACACACACACACACACACAAAUUAAUUAAUUAGUUAUUCUAAAUUUGUGUUUUUUUAAUUUAUUGUAACAUUUGUAGAACUUACGUUUUCUCAUGUAAAGUUGAUAUUUGAUUUUUAUCAGUUUUAAAGAU